UACAAGGGAGAACAGUAACCUUCAAAUAUUGCAGAACCACAAAGCCCCAUAUAGACUAUGUACAGUAAUGUAUUCAUUAUAAUAAAAUCAGCCCGAGUCAUUAAAUGAGGUUUGAGUUUCAUGUACCAGUCUCGAUAUGUGAUGAUGGGGAUUUGUGAUUAAAGGAUCAACUAUCGAACUAUUAAACUUUAUUAAAAAUGGAAAACAAAUUACACAAAACUUCAUUUUUAGCUCGAUGACGACACAUUUUUUUGUUUUAUCUAAAGAUUUUUAAGGGUUUUGAUAUCCCUCGUGUCUUUGCUUUAAAGGUGUAGUUCAUAAAUAUAAAGCGACAUUAAGCAGCUGGCUAGCUUAGCCUAGCAUAUAGACUGAAAACAGUGAGAAACAGUGGGAAACAGCUAGCCUAGCUUUGCCUGAGAUAAAACAUGCUCCAAUUCAUCUGCUCAAUCAGUUCAAGUUCAUAAACCAAAGAGUUAAAGCAAAAAUUAGCUGUUUUAUGAAGGUUGUGUGCUUCAUUUACAUGUGGAUAUGUGUUUUUAUGAAGGAUUAUGUGCUCUGCUGGUUCUGGUGGUUUUAUUGCUCCCAGCUAAGAAGUAGUCCUCCUGUAAAGUGACGAACCGUCGUCUUUACACUUGAGUUUUUCUAUGGAUUAAACAAACAAGAUGUAACUUGUUCCGUUAGUGAAUUUUUAAGGGUGGGGACAGGGUGAUCACAUUAGCUUUGGCAGAUCCAGGCUAGCUGUUUCCAUCUGUUUCUAGUCUUUGUGCUAAGCUAAGCUAGCCAGAAAGCAAAUACAAGUUUUCCUCAAAAUGUAAAACUAUUGCUUUAACCUAUCAAUGACUAGGAAACACACACUUAUAAAGACACACACACACACACACACACACACACACACAAACACACACACACACACACACACACGAUAACAGCUCUUUGCCCAGUGUGGGAUUUCUCCCUUCUAUUUUGAGAAAUCAUUCAAAAGCCACAUCUCCAACUCCUCCUCUUCUCUCUGUUUAAUAAAGUUGCAUCGAGGUUGGCGGGCGUAAAACCCAAUGGGUCGAGGGUCCGCCGCACCUGAACAAACACUCUGCUGAGGAGUGAAGGUGAGUGUUGUGUGAGCAGAGCAGAGGAGCGCGGCGAUCUGCACCGAAGACGUUUCCAAUCAGUUAAACCGAGGUGGAAUUCCUCAACUGUUUGGGGGAAACCCCGAAGAGCUCCGAGUGAAAACUACCACUUCCGAGCAAUACUCCACACCUCGCUUAUUUAACGGGGUUAUUGCUGGAUUUCAGCAGGUGUGAGAGAAUAAAUGUCACAGGGAAUGUUUUUGGAAGUGUCACAUUCAGUGUUAAAUGGUGUAUUUUGGAUGGAGUCGAAAUGGAAGCAACAGGGUUGGGUUUUAUUUCAAACUUUAUUUGCCCUCUCAACGCAGCCGACAGACGGUCAAGAGAGGAGAGGAAGCGAGGAGAGGAAACAAGGAGAGGGGAGAAGACUUGACUGCAGCAGUCAAGAACAAAAAUUAUGACGUUUCUUCCGCCCUGAACCACGGGGGAGUCAGAGAUGAACUGUCUCGCAAAGAGACAUAUUCUGAGGAUAAUCCAGCCUUUGUUUGAUUCCAACAGCCUGAGUCUUUGACUUUUUUUCGUCUCACUGGAGUCGUGCUUGGCAGGGUCCAGGACUAAGGGCGGUUAAGAUUGAUGCUUGUUGUCAUUGAUAGGAAGUAGGAACCGCUAGGCUUCACUGCAAGCCCAUGUCCUCAUCUCUGGACUCGGCGGGACACUGCAUAGUUUGGCAGGGCCUAUUCAGGAGGGAAGCCCCGUUAAUGGUGAGAACCAAUGCCACAGAGUCUGCGUUCCCAGCAAGAGCAGAGAAACGCUGAGGACGGCACUUCCAUCUGGCCUCCAGCGAGCCGCAACUCAUGAUUUCUCAGGAAUAACAAGGAGGUGAUGGACAGUUAAGGCGCUUAAUACAAGACUGAUCCAUCCCAGUGAAAAGCGUAGCAUUAGUCUUUUAUUCAAAUCCUCAAAAUAAGCUGUGUUUAUGUUUACCUGACGAGGAUCUCUAGUGGCUGUGUGAGAGCUUUGACUGUUGUCUGUCAGGAACUAAGGUUGAAAUAAUGGGGGCAGACGGAUGGGUCAACAAAGCAACUUUGACACAAGAGCUUGUUGUUUCAUAUCCAGUUUCAUACCAAAAGUCAAGAUUGGUUUGUUUUUACAAUCGUCACAAUCUUUCCUUUAUACCAAGUGUUUGUGCCUAAAGAAAAACAGUCAUGUGGACAUUUUGUGAAGGCACUGACAGACUAUUUUGGAUACCAAACGACCCGUUUUAUGAUUCAUUCAUUCAGAGGGACGACUUGUUGCUUUUACCAAAGAUAAAGAAAAUACUACCACAAACUUAAUUCACCCAAAUCUGUGUUCAAGGAAAGUCUAACUGCAGGGAUUCAGAGCAUCUGUUAGCUACAGUUGCUUCUAGCUAACAGUUAAGCUAACUAACAGUUAAACUAUACCUCUAGUGGUAUUAUUAACCACGCAGAUAGUUUUUUUUUUGUUAGCUGCAUUCAUCUCAUCAACCCUAUCGCUCAGUACUUUGUAUGUGGCUAGGUAGCUAGCCGCAUGUAGCUAGGCGUACGAAACUCUUGAUUAGUCAGUUAAUUGAGAUGUGAGCGGUGAUUCAGCGUUGGUCACAACAUUGAAAGAUUCAACAGUAUAAUUUAUGUUGCAGUUAAAUCUUUUAGUAAUUUCUUUACAGCAAUGAUCCCUAGUGUAUUUAUCUCUAUAGUUUUUGGGGUGGUGGCAGAAAUAUCUGCAUGGACAGACACAGCUUGGAGUUAAUUUAUUUAUUAUUUUUGUGGUAUUUUGGUUGAACUGACUCUUUAAAAGACUGUUUUUCCAAUGGUAAGUGGCCAUGUUACAAUCAUGAUAAUACAUUUCGAAGUGUUGUGAUAUAACCGAUUGUUUACACUAUUAUCACUUAGAUGUCUCCUGCAAAACCAAACCCUAUACAACGAUAAAUAUACCUUACUAUCCCGCUGCUGUGUGAAUAAGAACAGGGAGCGACUGGCAGCAGGGUGACGUAAUAUUCUACGUUUUUAAAUUGAGUUGUUGAAUCAUAGCAUGACACAUAAUCAAGGCCUAUAAGUCAUAAUCAGUCAUGUUAACAUGACUGAGUUAGACUUUAACAGAGUCUGUUUAUGUCCACCUCAGCCCUGUCAGGAGCCAUGCUUACAUAACCAGAGACAUAUAAAGGCAAGAACCAAAGUCCUACUGAGCCCCAUAAAUCCAGCUCCAGUAGGGGCCUGAAGUAAGUGCCAAUAAUUAUCAAACUGUACCUUGAAUAAUGCUGCUAUUAAAAGAAAGUAUGACCAGACAAAAGAAAAAUAAUCAGCAUAGAAGGCGAUCCAAAUCAACUAUUUCUAGCCACUCAAAGCUUAUGAAAUGCUUUUACAGGCACAUCAAUCAGCUGCCUAAAUCAUCACCCUCAGCGACAAACUCCUGGCACUAACCAGCGACGUCCUUCAUGAGCAGCCCUCCGAGUGGUGGGCUGCCCUGUCAGUCACGGAGGUAAUGGGCUGUGAACGGCCCUCCAGUGUUUGGAUUGGAGGGCUCUUGGAUGGGGUGCCAACCCAAACAAGGAGUGCUGGACUCGGUGGGACGGUCAGCCAACUCCCCUCCGUUGCUGCCAUACUUCAUGCUGUCCACACAGCUCAGUCACACGCACUAAACUAAACACACUAACCCAGGUCAGGGCCACUUACAGCUCUCACAAAGAGGGUGUAAAAACUACGUGCAGAAAAGUGACGGGUGAGGCAGCAUCCAUCCCACACACUGGAAUAUUUUGGUUGAACCUUGCUUUGGAAAGAGCCGGAGGUCAAAUUCUGGUUGACCGAGAUGACCUCGGCUGACCAGAGUGAGGAGUGAGGACCGUGCCGGCUCUGUCCUGCGGUCGGAGCGCGCCGCGUCCCUUUGGUAACGAGGGAAAAAGCUUAUACAUCCUGAGCGAGAGCGCUGCGGCCACACAGCACCAGACAAUUAUCUGCGACCCCACAAUGUUCCAUAAUAACAACCCCAACGGGCUGGAAGAAGAGGAAAUGAAAUGCAGUGAUGCUGCAGGAUGUUAGCGGCUUCAGAGACAUGACUAUAUACAGCCUGUUGCUGUGACAGCGGCGGGUUAAGACCACAGUCCUCUGGAGACCACGGCCUCUCACAUCUGCACAGCUCUAAAGCAGCUGGAUGUAACUCAAAAAUAAUUGCUUCCUCUGCAACGUCCAGGAAAGCAUGAUGUGUGUGCUAUCUUCACGAAUCCUUCCUGCAGGGAUGGCAACUAAAUCAACAUUUUUACAACCAUUUAUCAUCAACUGGCUUUGUAGUUUUUGUUGGUUUUAUCUGAGAGACACAUGAAAGAGGAGGAUAGUUAGUUUGGUGCUGGCGGGCGGCGGAGUUCCACUGGCAAAGUAAUCUUACUUUUACUUACUUUAGAGCGAGAACACAAACACAACACUUGCUGCUCCACCUUCAUUGUUAACGUUUGAAUGUGUAAAAGCUUCAGGAGUGCAUCUUUGAAUGCAUGAAUGAGAGCGAAGCAGCUUAAAUAUAACUGCUUGAAACACACCGAGCGUGUGUCUGGUCAGCGGAGAGGAGGAUUAUCCUGUAGGAAUGGUUUGGAAACUUUCUACUGACAUUUUGAU